CGAAGUUAUCAUUCUUUUAACAAAAUUCUAACAACGCUCUCUUCCACAUGUAGCGAACUCAUCCUCAUUAGCCUGUUCAAAUUUAAAGCGAACUCGUCGCGAUAACCUUCUUCAAACUAAAAAGUUAACAUUCUGAAAGUUGUUUAUAUUUUGAAAUCUGAUUCAAGAAAACUCAUACUAUGGGCGUGGUUCAGAAGAAACAAUAUAAGAAGUAUGAAGCUAUAUUGGAAGCUUCAUCCUACCUGUAUUUUUUUCUUCAUAGUAACACAAAGUAGAUCAACUUCAGAUCAUUCCAUGAAUAUUUUCAAUAAAAGCUUGAGCAAUCACAAGGUCAAGAGCUUCUAUGAGAUCAUUUGUGCAAUGAUAUGGUCAAGAGAAGAUGAAAGCAAGCAUGGUAAUGGUUCCCAAAGCUCUAAUCCAUCAAAUAUGCUUCCCUAGUAUCCCAAUUCAUCAUUUUGAUCAAAUCAAGUCAAAGGGUUUGAAGUUUGUUUCUCAAGGAAGCCCUAAUUCAUCUGUGUACCAUAAUGCCUUGCUAAUGAAGCAACCUCAGCCAAUGGUCAAAUACAAUCAAGGGAAGUCCUUUAAUUCAUCAUUUCAUGCAUAUUUGAACUUAUUUGAGUGUCCUCAAGCAUCAAUUCAUCAAGAUUUGAGUUGAGGACUUGAGAAGUUGAUCAGUCAAUCCAUCUGACUAUUUUGAAAUGCACUGAGACUUAACUUUUUAUGUGUUGGUAAAAUGGAGAUAAUCCUAAGAGAAACAAUGUUCUUAAAGACAACAUUAACAAAUUUCAUGUUCAUCAAAAAUUAAUUUGAAGCCUGGAAGAUCAUCUUCUAUUCCAAGACAUUAUAGGUCAUUUUGACUGAAACCCUAAUUUUGGGUCAACUUCCCAAGAACACAACUCAUUCAUUUUUUAUGAUUUUGAGGUGGGAUCAAAUGAAUUGGAAAGCUUAAGAUGUCUACUUCAAAUGUUAUAUUUAACAAAAUUUCAUAAUCUCAAAGGAAGUACAUGUGAUAAUGCAAAACAUUAUAGGUCACUUUGGACCAAAUGCAUUGAAAGGCAAAAAAGUCCAACUUCAAGUGCCCAUAACUCCUUCAUCAAAAAUCCAAAUUAUACAAAAUUUAAGUCCAUUUUGAUUGUCUUGAAAAGACCUACAACUUUUAUGUUUGAAGUGUUUCCAUUUGGAACUUGCAUCAUCAAAACAGAGGGGCUUGAAGUUGGUUCAAUUUGGCAAAAUUCUCAAAGGCAUGUUUUGCACUAUGAACUUCAUGGCCUGUUUUCAUAAAUUUCCACACUCCAAAUGAGUUUUGGUACAACAUAACAUUUUUUCCUUAUGUCAAUACCUUUCCAACCAUUACCCACAUGCCUAUGUUUCAAUUUUUCAAGUGGCAUUUUCGAAGAGGAGAAGUUUUAGGCUCAAUUAUGCAUAACAUGUUGAAACUCAUUGCACAAGCCAUUGCAUUGCCAUCUGCACGUCCAUUUCAAGUUGUUUGGUCAUCAGCAUGCAAAUGCAAUUGAAUUUGGGCCUUCUACAUGAUCAUGCAAGCCCAUGCAAAGAAUAUCCACUUGCCAUGCACACGAGUAUUUCCUUGCUUUGCCUCCAAUUCAGCUAUAAAUAGACAUGUUAUGCUUCAUAAUUCUGGACCCUAAGUCAAUCUGAAAUGCUGCAGAAAUCAAAACCUAGCCAUACCUAAAGGAACUAGUUCAUAUUUUCUUCAUUUUUCAUAUCUAAAAUUCAACUGAAUUUGGUUGAAUCUUUAGAUCUAAAGUUCCUAGACCUCCAUCAUAUGAUCCAUUGAACUUCUGUUUUGCAAAAGGAAGCAAGGAAGCUAGCUCAAAUCUUCACAAUUCAAAGGUAUGGUUCAACUGGUUUUUGCUUCGAAUCUCUUUGUUCCUUGAUCUAUUUGCCUGGCCAAUGUGUUUUCUGAAGUCCUCACUUGAGAGGCAAGCCAGUGGUGGCUUUGAUUUCGUGUUUUAAUGAACUGCAAUUUAUGUACCUGAGUCUUCCAGCUCAGAUUUCUUAUUCUAUAGAAAGUCUGAGUACAAUUCAAGGUCACAGGGGUGAUGUACAUCACCCCAGCUUCAUUUUGAUAUAUGGAUCGUGAAUUUUGGUUGAGUUUGGAGCACCUGCAACUCUGGCCGGAGCUUGUAUGCUCGCCGGAGAAGACGGUGGCGCUGGCCACCGUCCACCUUGCCAGAUCCAAUCUGGAUCGUUGGAUGCAUCUCCCACGUUUUAAUCUCAGCCAUGCGUUUGGAUUACUUGCUUUAAUGCCAGGUGUGACGCGUUUGACUUGGACUCACCAUG